CUCACAGAAUUCUCUCUCUCGCUCUCCUCUCUAGCUCCCGUCCGGUGAGAUUUCUUAUAGCAUAUCGUUCCACCCAUUGUGAUUUUGCCGAUGAUGGAGACAAUCGAGAGUAUAGUAAGGUUGGUGAUGAUUGGCGGCUCUCACCCACCCUUCCUCUUCAACUCUUAUCUCAAUCGUACACCAUCAACUUCGAAUUCCAAACCCUAAAAUUUGUGUAUCAUAUUGUCACUUCCCACUAUAUUCACCAUGGUCGGUCUUUCCUCUCCAAGCAUCAUCCUUUAUCUUGUAGGGGUCUAUUAAUAGUUUUUCUAUUGCUAUUGAAUGAAUGAUUUAGCAUUUUUUUCUCAAAAAUGUGAUGAAACUUGAUUUUUCAUGAAAUUUCUUCAUCUUGAUCUUGGUGUUGGUACUAAAUUAAUCUAGUUCUUUUCUUUUUUAAGUUUUGAAUUGGAUAGGUUGUAGCUAGUUAAGUGUUGAAUUUUGUUUCAUUUUAUCUUUGAAAGGAUUGGAUCAUUUUAGAAUAUGCUUAUGUUAGCCUUAUCUUUGGCUGUUAUCAAUUGGCUUUGAGUUGAUGGAGAUUAGCCCUUGGAUUUUGAUAUAGCUAUGCAAUUUGUUGAUUGAUCGCACCUAGUCUCUGCAUUUUUAGAUUUUGAUUUUGAGCAAACCCAUAUCUCAUUAAUUAUCCAUCUUCAGAGUCCAAGUUGAUGACGAUGAGUAAGAGCACUACGAAAUUGAGAUGAAUUGAAAACAAAGGACAAUUUGGGAAAGUUGACAUCUCCAACAUUUUUUUGUGUCAUUUAACUGACACGAGAUUGCUGGUUUAGAGUUUUUAUUUUUGACACCCAUUUCUCAUUAAAUAUCCAUAUCCUUGGUUUGUGCUCUGUCCAUUGUGUUUGCAGGUUAUUGAGAUUCUGGAACUUGUGAGAAGAAAACGGAGUGGAGACUCUAAAAACCCCGUUCGAUCGUAUGGUUAAUUAAGCCAGAGACAGAAAAUAAAUAAAUUGGAAGUCAUUUGGAAGAGGUCAAGCUCUAAUGGUGGAGAUAGUGACUCGACCCCAAAGGUACUACGUGGCCUCGUGAAUCUGAUGAUCAUCACGAAGCUUUUAAAAGCUACUGGUACUAAUUUUGGGAUUCAUCAUAUCAUCAAAUAUUCACACAUGGACGCAAUUAAAUUAUAAUCCUUCAAGUCCUCUUCACUUCAUAUAACAAAACAAACAUUGGAUCUAUCAAACUGAUCGUGAUCAAUCAGAAUGUCAACAAGUGAUUUCAAUAAUUGUUCAAAGUUAUAUUAAUUUAACCUC